rnacentral:rRNA from 1 species
AUGCAGGGCUAUGGCAUGAUCACUCUAGCAUCAACACUCCUGUCUCAGCGACCGUCUGCAUCCCUUGACAAUGACUCCUCGUCUUCCCCUUUUUCGCUGGAGGUGUCCUUCUUCUAUGUCUCCCUCUAUCUCAUCACCCUCGCGCAGGGUGUCGGCAAACCUUGUGGCCUUGCCUUCGCCGCAGAUCAAUUCGACCCCAACCACGCUAGGGAGUUCACCGCCCGGAGCUCCCUCUUCAACUGGUGGCACUUCUCCAUAGCCAUUGGCAUCAGUUUCGCUGUCAUCGUUGUCAGUUACAUCCAGGAGAAUCCUGGUUGGGGAAUUGGCUUUGGCAUGCUCUGCACCAUCAUGAUUUGCGCUUUUGUCGUCUUCCUCCUUGGCAUUCCCACCUAUCGCCUCCAUGUGCCUGGCUCUGAUAACCCUUUUGCUCGUCUUGGUCGUAGUGUCUUUGCACUUGCUAGGAACUCAAGCUUAUGCGUCUGCGCUAAAAGACAUCAUCAUGAAGAUGAAGAUGUCGCAACCAGCAUGGAGGAGGCACGAUGCGUGCUACAACUACUGCCGAUCUGGGCGGCAUGCCUAGCUUAUGGUGUGGUGAUCGCGCAGAUCAUGACACUCUUUAACAAAUAG